UACGUAGGGUGCGAGCGUUGUCCGGAAUUACUGGGCGUAAAGUGUGCGCAGGUGGCCGCGCAAGUCGAGUGUGAAAGCCCCGGGCUUAACUUGGGAAUUGCGCUCGAAACUACGUGGCUAGAGUGUGGCAGAGGGAGGUGGAAUUCCACGUGUAGCGGUGAAAUGCGUAGAGAUGUGGAGGAACACCAAUGGCGAAGGCAGCCUCCUGGGCCAACACUGACACUCAUGCACGAAAGCGUGGGGAGCAAACAGG
rnacentral:rRNA from 1 species